GCCAGUGGGACAUAGUGGGUGGAGUGUCGGACUAUGACUCUGGAGAGCUGGGUUCGAUUCCCAGCUCGGCCA